rnacentral:rRNA from 1 species
GCUAAACGCGAAGAACCUUACCUACCUUUGAAUCCACGGAACCUAGCAGAGAUGUUGGGGUGCCUUCGGGAACCGUGAGACAGGUGCUGCAUGGCUGUCGUCAGCUCGUGUCGUGAGAUGUUGGGUUAAGUCCCGUAACGAGCGCAACCCUUGUCCUUAGUUGCCAUCAGGUUAUGCUGGGCACUUUAAGGAGACUGCCGGUGAUAAACCGGAGGAAGGUGGGGAUGACGUCAAGUCCUCAUGGCCCUUACAGGUAGGGCUACACACGUGCUACAAUGGGCAGUACAGAGGGAAGCCAACCCGCGAGGGGGAGCGAAUCUCAUAAGCUGUUCGUAGUCCGGAUUGGAGUCUGCAACUCGACUCCAUGAAGUUGGAAUCGCUAGUAAUCGCGGAUCAGAAUGCCGCGGUGAAUACGUUCCCGGGUCUUGUACACACCG